rnacentral:tRNA from 1 species
GGCCUCGUAGUGUAGCGGUUAGCACUGUGGACUUUGAAUCCAGCGACCCGAGUACGAGUCUCGGCGGGGCCU